rnacentral:lncRNA from 1 species
GGCCCCUCCCCGCCCUCCCAGGGCGCGCAGCACUGGCGGGAGGAGCGGGAGACCGAGGAGCUGCAGAAGAGGAGGAGGAGGGCGCCGAAGGCGCGAAAAGGCGCGCAGGCGCGCUGCGGGGCCCGCCGCCGCCCACGUCACCGCGCCGCGCGCACGUCACGCCGGCCCGACGCUCGGCCAGGGUGAGCCCCGCGUCCCGGCGCCGCUCGGCCCAGGGCAGGGACCCCGCCACGGCCGGGACCGCCCGGCCCGGCCCCCGCCCGCGCCUCCCUGCGCCGCCCCGCGCCCCGCACCGCGCCCUUUCCGCGUCCCCGCCCGCGCGGCCGGCCCGGGCAGCCAGGUGCGGGCGGGCAGGGGAUGCCGCGGGAGCCGCGGGCGGGGCCGGGGGUGCGGGCGGGACCCCGGCCACCCCAUCCUGUGCCCCGGCCGCGUGUAGGCGCCGCGCGGCCCCGACCCGCGGUCUCCCGCGCCCUCCCGCGCCCCGCGCGCUCCUGUGCCUCGGGGACCCCGCGCGCUCGGCGCUGGUGGGGGCUCCCCAGGUGACCGCGGGGCGGGGGUCCCGGGCCUGGCCCUCCUGGCCGAUAGCAGCGCCCGCGCCCCGCGCCGGAGGUGGGGCCAGGGCCAGGGUCGGCCGGAGCGCGCAGGGCGGGGGAGGGGAUGCCGCCCCACGGCGGCCCGCGGGGACCCGGUUCCGGCGCGCGCGGGAGGCGCCUCGUGCGGAGGCGGCCCGAGGCCUAGUGACAGGCGCGCGGCGCGGACCCCGGAAGCCCACCUGUCAGAGUUACCGGUCAGCCAGGCGGGCGCCGCCGGGGUCUGGGGUGGACGCCGCGAGCCUGCACGUUGCGCCGGGACCCUGGGGCUGCGCCCAGAAAAAUCAUUUUUCUUCUCUGGGAAGGUGA